GUCACAAUGCCUGUAGAAAAACCUACAGCAGAACCUGUGACUGUGCCCGCUUUGGGGUUGCCUGACUUGCAGAAAGAAGCUAAGUUAUAUGUUCAUGAAAAACAAGAAAUGAGCCUUGAUGUCUUAACAUUUCCUUCAUUCUUCAAUAGUGAUAAUUGCUUAAUAAUAGGGUGUCUGUGCCUGUUGGGCACUGCACAACUUCUCACACUUGGAGUUAGACUGGACAAUGCCAUCCUCACUUCCUCAUCCUCCUUGGUCUUCAGGUGAUAAUUGCUUUUCUUCACAGUAACCACUGACAACCCAGCAUCAUAAAGACAUGAUGUCAGCAAAGGACAUGUAGAGACAUCUAAUGUUCAAGCCAUGAACCCUUGGAGCUUGUAGUUUAUGUGGCGUCAGAUAUCAAAUAUUGCUGUGAUUCCCUUAAAGUAUCUUUAAGGGAGACGUUAAAGUCUCUUCAGUACCUGGGCACACAGUUUCAGAUGUGAGGAUAAAAGAGCAGCAAUGCAGUAAGUGUUCACUGGAGGGGAGAGAGUGGAGGAGCCGGUCUGGUUGCCAAGCAAGGCUCAGUGUCCUAGGAGAAAGGAAAACCUCCCCUGGGCACCAUGAAGUUUUGCUGAAAGAUCAAAUCACAAUGAGGCAGGCGAGUAAGAGAGAGAGGCCACAAAUGUGCUUACUGCGCGCACAGGAGAAUCGGAGUGAUCACCCAGGUUCCCAGUGGGAUCUACAAGCUGAUACACCCUCAUUGUAGAGGCAGGAGGAUGAGGAUCCAAGGUGCUACUUGCAACCACUGACGACCCAGCAUCACAAAGGUGUGAUGUCAGCAGAGGACACCCAGGGAGACCUAAUGUUGAAGCUGUGAAUUGCUGGAGGCCGGGGUUCUGUGGUGCCAGGUGUGGAACACUGCAGCGCCUCCCUCCGUUUUAACGAUCCUGCACACCUCUGCAGAUGGCUACAGCUGUCAGGAGAGACAGCGGGAACUCAGUAGGCAUUCACUGGAGGGGGAGAGGAUGGAGGAGCUGGUCUGGUUGCCAUGCAACGUUCAGUAUCCUUGGAGAUAAGUCACCAUGGAAUCAGAGUGAGAACAGGCAGUGGGGGAGGGGCAGUCCUGCCCUGUGACCCAAGUGAGCUGCACCAACUAGGAAAAUAGCAAGGUUGUCCAUUGUUUCUUUAAUUGGAAACCUCUCAUUUGUUUACCUAGAUAGUCUCCAUUUAUAAUCAUGCCUAUUAUUUCUAUAUCUCUUGCACCAUUUGUUCCCAACAUAUAGUUGAAGGAUUACUAGGGGGAAUCAAAAUCUUUUCAUAGAGUCCACAAUACCAAACUGUUUUUCUAAGAUUAUUAAGACUUUGUUUGCCUCAUUUUCUC